CGCUCAUCCAGAGGGGCAGAGGGAACGGCCCGUUGAAGCCCCGGCAACCCUCCAGCCGGUCUCGCACGAAGCGACGUGACAUCGCGAGGCUCCCGGCUCGGGAAGGUGCCAAUUCCGUCUCGUGGCGAGAUACGUCACGGGGAAGAUGAGGA
rfam:Streptomyces nanshensis strain SCSIO 10429 scaffold305, whole genome shotgun sequence.